rnacentral:rRNA from 1 species
AGGACGAACGCUGGCGGCGUGCUUAACACAUGCAAGUCGAGCGGUAAGGCCUUUCGGGGUACACGAGCGGCGAACGGGUGAGUAACACGUGGGUGAUCUGCCCUGCACUCUGGGAUAAGCCUGGGAAACUGGGUCUAAUACCGGAUAUGACCUGCUCUCGCAGUGGGGGUGGGUGGAAAGAUUUAUCGGUGCAGGAU